rnacentral:rRNA from 1 species
UUGAUCCUGGCUCAGAAUCAACGCUGGCGGCGCGCCUAACACAUGCAAGUCGCACGGGAAAGUGGGCAACCACGAGUAUAGUGGCGUACGGGUGAGUAAUACGUGGGUGAUCUACCUCUUAGUGGGGAAUAACCCUGGGAAACCGGGGCUAAUACCGCAUAAGCCUGAGAAGGGAAAGCAGCAAUGCGCUGAGAGAGGAUCCCGCGGCCGAUUAGCUAGUUGGUAGGGUAAAAGCCUACCAAGGCAGAGUUCGGUAGCCGGCCUGAGAGGGCACACGGCCACACUGGCACUGAAACACGUGCCAGACUCCUACGGGAGGCAGCAGUGGGGAAUCUUGCACAAUGGGGGAUACCCUGAUGCAGCGACGCCGCGUGAGCGAUGAAGCCCUUCGGGGUGUAAUGCUCUUUCGGCAGGGGAGAUAAUGACGGUACCUGCAGAAGCAGCUGCGGUUAACUACGUGCCAGCAGCCGCGGUAAUU